rnacentral:rRNA from 1 species
CACCGCGGUUAUACGAGAAGGCCCAAGUUGAUAAAAAUCGGCGUAAAGAGUGGUUAAGAGCAAAUUUUUAUUAAAGUCGAACACUCUCAAAACUGUUAUACGUACUCGAGAGUUUGAAGAACUAUUACGAAAGUGACUUUAUUACAUCUGAACCCACGAAAGCUAGGAUA